rnacentral:lncRNA from 1 species
ACAUAUGUGUGUGUUCUGUGUAUAUAUAUCCUAAGUAAUUGUAUAUAUCAUGAGCAUCCCAAUCUUACCAAAUCCUAACACCCUCAAUUUGCACCAGCCAUGCCUUCAAUAAAUGAAGAUGUGUCUAUUGGAAACUUAGGCAGUCUCCAAACACUCCCAGACUCAUUCACCUGGAAACUCACCGCUGCUGACUCCAUUCUCCCUCCCUCCUCCGCCGCUGUGAAAGAGUCCAUUCCGGUCAUCGACCUCUCCGAUCCUGACGUCACCAAUUUGUUAGGAAAUGCAUGCAAAACGUGGGGAGCGUUUCAGAUAGCCAACCACGGGGUCUCUCAAAGUCUCCUCGACGACGUUGAAUCUCUCUCCAAAACCUUUAAAAGAUUAAACCGGCUCAACCAAAAAUAAGAUUAGUGGACGUGUUAGUACAUUACAGUUGACUAUUAUAUAUUUCGUUAUUUUCUUAUGGAUACGAGUAGGAAUAAUCCGAAAAAGGAAAAAUAGAAAUCGAAAUAUCUUGCCAUGUUGAAGUUUAGUUAAAAGCACAAUGAAAGCUAAUAGACCCACCAAAGAUUAUAUGUGUCUCAACGAUAUCUGUAUACUAUAUAGUAAGCAGUAACAAAAUACAAUGGCAUUUAUGGUAGGAAAAAAAAGGCUGAUGGACGCAUUAAUAGAUUAUGGCUGUCUCAGUUUUUGUAUGAAGAUUUGUAUACGUUUUAAGAUUUCAUCUGAUUGUCACAUCGAUUAAACAGUAAAAUUAUUCAAGAGUAUGAAGAGCAUAUGCAAAAGUUGGCAGCCAAGCUGAUGUGGCUGGCAUUAGGCUCACUUGGAGUUGAGGAAAAAGACAUUGAAUGGGCCGGUCCCAUUUCAGACUUUCAAGGAGCACAAGCAGCUAUCCAACUAAACCACUAUCCAAUAUGUCCAGAACCGGACCGAGCAAUGGGUCUCGCAGCACAUACCGACUCAACUCUCAUGACCAUACUGUACCAGAACAACACCGCCGGUCUCCAGGUUUUCAGGGAUGACGUGGGCUGGAUCACCGUGCCACCUGUCCCUGGCUCACUAGUGGUCAACCUCGGUGACUUACUCCACAUUUUGACCAACGGAAUAUUCCCGAGCGUGCUUCACCGAGCUAGGGUUAACCACCUCCGAUCUCGCUUCUCCAUGGCUUACUUGUGGGGUCCACCUUCUGAUCUGAUGAUCUCUCCGCUUCCCAAACUCGUUGAUCCUCUCCAUUCUCCUCUUUACCCAUCUCUUACUUGGAAGCAGUACCUUGCAACCAAAGCUACUCAUUUUAAUCAGUCUCUUUCCUUUAUUAGAAACUAUCUGUCUUCAGACCAAAUAUCUUGAUGUUUACAUUUGUACUUUCAUUAUUGUACAGCUUUUAUCUGGGUAAUAUGAUUAAUAAUUAAUAUUUUAUUUUACCUCAUUACACGAGCAUUUUACUGGAUAAAAUACAUGAAACAAGGUACAUUUCCUAUCCCCCGCCAUUUUUAUUUAAAAUGUGAAAACUUGCUAGAUUUUGAUGUUUUUUUUUUGUUGAAAUGUUAAAUUUAUUUAUCAACAAAAAAAAAAACUACAGAAACUUGGUAGAUUUUGAUGUUUAAGCAAUAAAUAAGUACUUAUCUCUAAAGGAAUCAAAUCCUGGGGUCAUUAAAAGCUCUCCAUAAAGUAAUAAUGACAAAACAACAAUUUGUAACUCACACCAUGCAUGAACACACUUGUUUUAACCAUAACAUGCCAGUCAAAUUGCUAGUUUUAUUUGGAAAAUGGCAUUAUCCGAGUUAUUGUCAAUAAGUUAUAAGUAAUAUUACAUAAUCAAUAUAGAGAAACCAACAUUUGUCAAUAUUAAUACGUGGAUCCAAUCAAAUUGCUUAGGUUUAAUUGGAAAUACCCAAUAAGAUGAUGUAUUCUACCAAUCCAUAAUACACUAGCUUAGACCUUAACAUGUGUAGCUCCAGAAAAGGACAAGAAUCAAAAAAGGAUUUAUCCUCAUCAUAUAUGCAUGUAUUAAACUUGUUGUGAUCAACAUAUAUUCAUAACAUAUGUGUGUGUUCUGUGUAUAUAUAUCCUAAGUAAUUGUAUAUAUCAUGAGCAUCCCAAUCUUACCAAAUCCUAACACCCUCAAUUUGCACCAGCCAUGCCUUCAAUAAAUGAAGAUGUGUCUAUUGGAAACUUAGGCAGUCUCCAAACACUCCCAGACUCAUUCACCUGGAAACUCACCGCUGCUGACUCCAUUCUCCCUCCCUCCUCCGCCGCUGUGAAAGAGUCCAUUCCGGUCAUCGACCUCUCCGAUCCUGACGUCACCAAUUUGUUAGGAAAUGCAUGCAAAACGUGGGGAGCGUUUCAGAUAGCCAACCACGGGGUCUCUCAAAGUCUCCUCGACGACGUUGAAUCUCUCUCCAAAACCUUUUUCGAUAUGCCGUCAGAGAGGAAACUCGAGGCUGCUUCCUCUAAUAAAGGAGUUAGUGGGUACGGAGAACCUCGAAUCUCUCUUUUCUUCGAGAAGAAAAUGUGGUCUGAAGGGUUGACAAUCGCCGACGGCUCCUACCGCAACC